AUGGCUCGAGCUGGGAGCCUCUACAUCGCCGGGAUCGAGUGCUUCUUCCUCUUCGGUCGCCGGUGCGCCACCGCCCAACUACUCUGCUCCGAUCACUCCGGCCUUCCCUCGCCGCGCCAAGCCAUCCAGGAGCUCCCCCAUCGUCGUCUCCUUUGCCCUCGCAUAAGGGCCCGAGCUGGGAGGCCCAGUACGGUCACCAUCGCCGUCGUCUUCGCCCACGGCCGCCGCAUCUCGUCGUCGCGUUCUUCGUGUCCGGCCACCCCCGCGCUCCCUGACCACAUCCACAAGCUGCGCGACCUCGAGACCGAUGCUGCCCCUGUGAUUGACUACGUCGACGACGACCCCUUCUUGCCAGAGCAACCAGACCUCGAGACCGAUGCUGCCCCUGUGAUCGACUACGUCGACGACGACCCCUUCUUGCCAGAGCAACCAGAUGCUGGAGUUCAGGAGCCAGACGCCACCGUCGACGACGCCCCCUACUACACCGGAGGUGCCUACUACUACGUGCAGCCCGCUGACGACGACCUGGAGUAG
rnacentral:rRNA from 1 species